CUGCAGGCUGGUUUCUUCUGACCCAGCUCUGGAAAACCUGUCUCAAGGAGAUCAGAGGAGGCAUGGGAGGUCGUUCAGAAUUGGCUUUGUGGACUGUUUUUCUUCCUGAGGCACUGAAAUACUCCUUUUGGUAACUUUCACCUGCUGGGGCUACUCCUCUCUCCUAGAGUGAUCCAAGUGAAGAAACUGUGAUUUGUUGAGACUGAAGAAAUGAGGCAAAACCAGGACCAAGCUGUCUACCUCCAAGACUGUAAUCUUGUCCACUCAGCUCUACUGCCCUGUGCUCUAUGAUAAGGAAUGAGCUCAACCCACCUGACUCCCAGCCUGCCUGGACUCUGGGAUGUAUCUUGUCUGUGAAGUAUAAUUUCUAAAAUCAGAUUAAAUCUGAC